rnacentral:rRNA from 1 species
AUUGAACGCUGGCGGCAUGCUUUACACAUGCAAGUCGAACGGCAGCGCGGGCUUCGGCCUGGCGGCGAGUGGCGCACGGGUGAGUAAUGCAUCGGAAAGUGCCCAGUGGUGGGGGAUAGCCCGGCGAAAGCCGGAUUAAUACCGCAUACGACCUGCGGGUGGAAGCGGGGGACCGAAAGGCCUCGCGCUAUUGGAGCCGCCGAUGUCGGAGUAGCUAGUUGGUGGGGGAAAGGCUUACUAAGGCGACGAUCCGUAGCUGGUCUGAGAGGACGACCAGCCACACUGGGAUUGGGACACGGCCCAGACUCCUACGGGAGGCAGCAGUGGGGAAUUUUGGACAAUGGGGGCAACCCUGAUCCAGCCAUGCCGCGUGCGGGAAGAAGGCCUUCGGGUUGUAAACCGCUUUUGUUCGGGAAGAAAUCCUAUGGGCUAAUACCCCGGGGGGAUGACGGUACCGGAAGAAUAAGCACCGGCUAACUACGUG